rnacentral:lncRNA from 1 species
GGCAACCCACGUGGGAGGGGCAGCUGGCUUCGGAUGGGACGUCGGUUCAGCCGGCGGAGGCCGCUUGGCGCAUGGGGACCGGCGGUCGAAGCUCCGUCGACCGGCUGCCCCUCGCCUAUAAAUAGGCCCUCGUUUCCGUCGUUGAGAGGCCACGCCGAGAGCGAUCGAAGGCUGCAAAGCUUCGAGCUUCCUGCUGAGAGACUUCAGAAGGGGAGCCGAGGUCGAGCAAGCCCAGAUCCGAAGGCUCGCGGCCGGAGAAAGAGAGGUUUUGCCGGAGAGACGAACAGAGAGAGAGGGAAUCGGAUCUAAGGCUGCAGAUUUCGGGUUCCCCACUGAGAGACUUCAGGGGGGUCCGAGGACUCGCAGCCAAAGAUCUGAGGCCCGCCGGAGCAGGUCGUGAGCUUAAACGGCCUCCCACCGAGAGACAUCGGGGGAGGCCGCGGGCAAGCGAGCCUGCAGAGAGAGGAGAAUCCAAGCGCAAGAGACGGUCGAGGCUUAGAUCCACCGUCGAUUCAGCUCCAACGCCGCCCCAAACACCAUCUCGACGCCGUCCAGAUCUAAGUCACCGUCGUCUCCGCGAGCAGUGCCACCGUGCCGAGCCAAAGCCGAGAGCAGGUGACGACGGAGCCCUGUCUACGCCGUCCAUCCAAAGCUCUGAUGGCCGUCGCAUUUGCCAUUCACUGUCGUCGCCGUAGCCACCGUAGCCGCCGUCGCCGCCGUCGCCGCCGGAAUGCUCCCGUUUCCCCCCUUUCGGCGCCGCGAAUUCGCAAACCCUAGGGUUUGCGAUUUCCGGGUCGCGAAGCGGAUCCGGG